GUGCCAGCCGCCGCGGUGAUACCGGCAGCCCAAGUGAUGGCCGAUCUUAUUGGGCCUAAAGCGUCCGUAGCUGGCCGCGCAAGUCCAUCGGAAAAUCCACCCGCCCAACGAGUGGGCGUCCGACGGAAACUGCACAGCUUGGGACCGGAAGGCUCGAAGGGUACGUUCGGGGUAGGAGUGAAAUCCCAUAAUCCCGCACGGACCACCGAUGGCGAAAGCACUUCGAGAAAACGGAUCCGACAGUGAGGGACGAAAGCCAGGGUCUCCAACCGGAUUAGAAACCCCAGUAGUCC
rnacentral:rRNA from 1 species